GGAGUUAGCCGGUGCUUCUUCUGUGAGUGAUGUCCUUCCUGCCGGCUAUUAACCCGCAGGCCUUCUUCCUCACUGAAAGUGCUUUACAACCCGAAGGCCUUCUUCACACACGCGGCAUGGCUGGAUCAGGGUUGCCCCCAUUGUCCAAUAUUCCCCACUGCUGCCUCCCGUAGGAGUCUGGGCCGUGUCUCAGUCCCAGUGUGGCUGAUCAUCCUCUCAGACCAGCUACGGAUCGUCGCCUUGGUGAGCCGUUACCUCACCAACCAGCUAAUCCGACAUAGGCUCAUCCGAUAGCGCGAGGCCCGAAGGUCCCCCGCUUUCCCCCGUAGGGCGUAUGCGGUAUUAGCCUGGGUUUCCCCAGGUUAUCCCCCACUACCGGGCAGAUUCCCUAUGCAUUACUCACCCGUCCGCCGCUCGCCACCAGGGAGCAAGCUCCCCGUGCUGCCGCUCGACUUGCNUGUGUAGCUGCGCCAGCGUCAUCUGAGCGAGAUACAACUCUGA
rnacentral:rRNA from 1 species